rnacentral:lncRNA from 1 species
UGUUCCCUUUAAUUUAUUUAUGAAUGCAAUAAUUCUAGAGCUUGACACAUCCACCGCAUGUGAUUGAUUAUGGAAGGAAUAUUUCGACUGGUGAAAUAAUUGUUUGAUCCCAUCAACUGCUUAAGCCUGGGAUUAGACUUUUCACCAUGAAAUCUUAUUAUAUAUGUACACUGAUUAAUGCAUUCACACCACAGAUUCACGUAUUCCUC